AAAAUCUUACAUUGUACACUUCCCCACAUUGCAUGCACAUCAUCUAUGUUUACUAUGCACACUAAUCAAUAAGCCUUCACUAAUCAGGUUUUUCAUCUCCUCAAGAGACUAAUUAAUACUCACACCAGCCUAUUUUCAUUUUCUUGAAUGCAGCUACAUUUUCUAUCCAUCUUCUCCAUAGUUUUCUAUCCCUCUGCAUAUUUCAUUUCCUUGAAUCAAAGGCAUAAAUCUCCAUUUCCAUACCCUUUUCUUACUAAAUCGAAGGCAUGUAUAUAUGCUAAAACCCCAUCCAUUUCUAUAUCAGUAAUUAGAACUGAUAUCAUGGUUUUAGAUAUGCACACCACAUGUUUGAUAAAAUGUUUCAGUGAGCAAUUGGAUCUCCAAAGCUUUCUCUCCAAAGAUAGCCCUCUUGACCACUUUUAGAUAUGUAUACCAUGUUUCUGAUAAAAUGUUGCAGUGGAACGGGAAACUUUCUUUCCAAAGAUAGUCCUCUCUAUCGAUGACAUUUAGAUUGAUACUUCCAUCUUUGGAGUAUAUGUUCGUGUGUCAUUGUUGACCAUUGUAGACUAAAGAAUAGGGGUUUCCCAUUCAUAUUGAUCACCAUUUAUAGUAGACCUCUUUUACUCUUCUACCUUUAGAUUAGCGACUGCAUACUCUCUUUCUCACUCGAUAACCCAAAAUCAGAUCAAGACAUGGAUCGCAUUGCGUUGUUACACGACACUUCGGUUGCACUUCACAGUCUGAAAGCUAACAUGUUCUUCAUAUCAGCAAAUUGGCAUCAAGUCAUCAACAUCCCUCCUUUGUUUAGGCCGAAAUCCUUUAAGAGUUACACAUCAGCUCUCUUGCUUAUUAAUCGUUAUGGUUCACACUUCUCCUAUGCAUAAAUCCAACAAAAGAUAUCUAAAUACAUCUUCAAUUGAUGGCAUUGGCAUUGGCAUGGAUUAAAUUUAUCUUUGUUGAUCGUUUGUUGCUUAAAUUUGUAUAGCACAAUAGUUUUUCUUUGUGUUCUAAUUUUUUUUAUUGCUCAAUUCAUGGAAACUGUUCAGCAUAAUCUUUCUUUUGUCUUGCAUGUAAUUUCAGAUAAUUAAGUGUUAGUAUCAACUCAGUUUUAAGUAAGAUUGCAUCAGGCUAUUCUUAUGGCGUUGUUCUUUGAACAUGAAUUAUAGUAAAGCAUUAGAAAUUAUAUAUGAACAUGAAUUAUUAAGUUAUGGUACCAAAUUUGAAGCUCUGAA